GGAAUAUGAGCUGCGCGUCCAUGAUACAGCGCGAAGCGGAAGUGCGCUGCUCUCUGCCGCUCUGAGGCGCUGCGCGUACGCGGGGCCGCCUUACCACUUUGCGGUAGUGGGGGCGGCGCAGCGCCUCGGGCUGGGUCUCUGGGGAGGGGACUGUGACCCGGUGGCACACAGCGCCCCAGAGCAGAGGUUGGGGAAAUAGCAGAGCAAGUGCAUUCCUAUUUGUGUUGGCUGGAACGCUGAGUCAUGAGAGCCAAUGAAGCCUCGCCGUGACAAGUACUGGUUACUACCAGUCAAAGAACUGCUCAAAUGAACACUGUAGUGAAUUAGAGGCAUUAUCUACCAUUAACCAACGGCAAACAAGCUAAUUUUCUAUGUGCUGUUACAUUGCUAUUCAAUGUGUUAAACGAUGGCUUCAUUAAAGCAGGU
rnacentral:lncRNA from 1 species